AUACGGAGGGAGCAAGCGUUGUUCGGAUUUACUGGGCGUAAAGCGCACGUAGGUGGCGCGACAAGUCGGGAGUGAAAUGCCACGGCCCAACCGUGGAGGUGCUUCCGAAACUGUCGUGCUAGAGGAUGAGAGGGGAAGGCGGAAUUCCAGGUGUAGCGGUGAAAUGCACAGAUAUCUGGAGGAACACCGGUGGCGAAGGCGGCCUUCUGGAUCAUACCUGACACUGAGGUGCGAAAGCGUGGGGAGCGAACAGGAUUAGAAACCCUAGUAGUCC
rnacentral:rRNA from 1 species